rnacentral:rRNA from 1 species
AACGAACGCUGGCGGCAGGCUUAACACAUGCAAGUCGAGCGCCCCGCAAGGGGAGCGGCAGACGGGUGAGUAACGCGUGGGAAUCUACCCAUCUCUACGGAAUAACGCAUGGAAACGUGUGCUAAUACCGUAUACGUCCUUCGGGAGAAAGAUUUAUCGGUGAUGGAUGAGCCCGAGUUGGAUUAGCUAGUUGGUGGGGUAAAGGCCUACCAAGGCGACGAUCCAUAGCUGGUCUGAGAGGAUGAUCAGCCACACUGGGACUGAGACACGGCCCAGACUCCUACGGGAGGCAGCAGUGGGGAAUAUUGGACAAUGGGCGCAAGCCUGAUCCAGCCAUGCCGCGUGAGUGAUGAAGGCCCUAGGGUUGUAAAGCUCUUUCACCGGUGAAGAUAAUGACGGUAACCGGAGAAGAAGCCCCGGCUAACUUCGUGCCAGCCGCCGCAGUAAGAC